GGCGCAGCAGCGCUCCCAGGCUGCCCCCGCGAUAACACGCCCCUGGCAGCCAGGCUCCCAGCUCUGUUACGUGCCCGGGCGGGGAAGAGCUUCCUGGUGUCUCCCGGCUCCUGCCCUUCUCCCGCCCCAGGGGCGGGCUGCCGCCGCCCUCUGCAGCUGAGUCAGUGCAGUUCCUCACCUACCUUCUCUGCUCACCGCUGUGUGCUAGCAAUCGGAGGACCCUUGGCACACGGAGCGACAGGGGCCUCCCCCACAGACACCUCAUUUUGGGAAAGAAGCUGUACAGGAGGCAUGGCUGGGGAGGCCUCAGAAAACUUACAAUCAUGGCAGAAGGUGAAGGGGAAGCCAGCACAUCUUCAUAUGAUGGCAGGAACUUUAUAUGUUAUAGAAGUUAGCCCCAAGAAUGAAAUCGUGUCCUUUGCCAAAACAUGGAUGGAGCUAGAGGCCUUUAUCCUAAGGUGCUCUAUGCUUAGCCCAUCAUAGAUUGUGGCCCUUCAUUCCUGCAUUUGAUGAAUCCAGGGAACCCUCUCUCCAACACCCUUGGCCUCUCUGCAACUUUCUAACAUCAGGCAGAGUCAGAGGCACCAUCCCCAGAAGCUACAAAUCUUCAGCAUUCUCCACUCUGUGAAGUCAGAGGAAUGGCGGGACCAUAGCUCUGAGCUCAUUGGCAAAUACAACUAAUUUCAAUUUCUGGAAUGGAAGCAGUCAGAUAUUCUUCUGACUGCACGCGUAUGUGGGAGUGCCAUGUUGAAGAGUGGAAAAUAUGGAAGAUCAGUCCCUACAAACUUAAUAGGAGAAUGACAUUCAGAUUUCCCGAGUAUUUUGCAUGUCCAACUGAAAACUGAAGUAGGUUUAUGAGAGAAUGCACGCCUACCUGGAUGGGUCUGGGGAGUGUGUCACUGUCACCGCAGAUAAUUGACAAGGGCUGAUCAAAUAGCGAUGCUUUCAAGUCUGUCUCCAAAGCCCCAGAAAAAUCUGAUGCAGGGGAGAGCCUUCUCAUGAGAAAGGGCCAGGACAGCACCUUCUUUCUCUUCUUAACUUCUACAGCCAAGAAAACAAGGCAACGAGAAAAAUUAGACUACAGUGUUAAGAAGCAAAGAUCCAGGUAAGAAAAUGGGUAUCGUUGGCCGCAUAAUGUGGUCAAUAGUAUGCGAUGUGAGAAAAAUAAUUUUGAAAACUUGAGAAAGCAAAGGGCGUGAAUCUUAAUCUAGAAAAACCAACCGAUAAACAACCACACUGUUACCAGGGCAACCAGUUCCCUAAACAGCAACACCAGAGUUCCUCAAGGCCUCCACCUUUCCUGUUUUCACUCUUUCCAGCUGUUUGCUACAGAAAAUUAGCAAAACCUAACUGUGCUGAUCAUAAACAACCAUCUUAACCUACUGGCCUGAAUAACUAUAGAGGAAAUUUCUGAUAUGAAAUAGAUUAUUUUGAUUUCCUCCUUUAACUGGCGAAGAAAACGAAACUUAAAAGGUGAGGAAGUGACUUGCUGAAUAUCUUUUCGAAGGCACAUAGCAGGGCUGGCUCCAACCCUUUGCAGCCACGCAGGCACUAAACAGCCACUAGAGGGAGCUAACACCAUUUUUCCUUCCAGGUGACUGGUCACCUUGGGUUUUCCAGGUUGCUGCUUUAGGACAGAGGCAAAUACGAAUCGCUGCGGGAAGCCUUGAACCUAGAUCUGGCAACUGGGAAUUAUCAGCAAAACGUUAUCAAGAUAUUCUGUCCUUCUGAAAUCCACAAGAUGUGUGUGCAAUGGAUAUUGCAAUCUCAAACAUUUCCUUCUUUCUUUUCUUUUCCUUCCUUCCUUCCUUCU
ensembl:lncRNA TAGAP-AS1 TAGAP antisense RNA 1